AGAGUUUGAUCAUGGCUCAGGAUAAACGCUGGCGGCGUGCCUAACACAUGCAAGUCGAACGCGCAUGGAGCAAUUCAUGUGAGUGGCGGACGGGUGAGGAACACGUGGGUCAUCUACCUUGGGGUGAGGAAUACCGGCGAGAAAUCGCCGACAAUACCGCAUAGCCUUCUCACGAAGGAAAGCUCGCGCAAGCGGGCGCCACAAGAUGAGCCUGCGGCCGAUUAGCUAGCUGGUGGGGUAAAAGCCUACCAGGGCGACGAUCGGUAGCUGGUCUGAGAGGACGAUCAGCCACACUGGGAUUGAGAACGGCCCAGACUCCUACGGGGGGCAGCAGUGAGGAAUUUUCGUCAAUGGGGGAAACCCUGAACGAGCAACGCCGCGUGCAGGAAGAAGGUUUUCGGAUCGUAAACUGCUUUUCCUGGGGAAGAGAACGGACGGUACCCAGGGAAGAAGCCCCGGCUAACUACGUGCCAGCAGCCGCGGUAAUACGUAGGGGGCAAGCGUUGUCCGGAUUUAUUGGGCGUAAAGCGCACGCAGGCGGUCUUGUAAGUUUCGAGUGACAGGUGGUGGCUUAACUCCACAGGCCUUGGAAAACUGCAAGACUUGAGGACUUCAGAGGGAUGCGGAAUUCCAGGUGGAGCGGUGAAAUGCGUAGAGAUCUGGAAGAACCCAGUGGCGAAGGCGGCUUCCUGGACCAGUACUGNNGCUGAGGCGCGAAAGCUAGGGGAGCAAACAGGAUUAGAUACCCUAGUAGUCC
rnacentral:rRNA from 1 species